rnacentral:rRNA from 5 species
GGCUGCUCCUAGUACGAGAGGACCGGAGUGGACGCAUCACUGGUGUUCGGGUUGUCAUGCCAAUGGCACUGCCCGGUAGCUAAAUGCGGAAGAGAUAAGUGCUGAAAGCAUCUAAGCACGAAACUUGCCCCGAGAUGAGUUCUCCCUGAGACUUAGAGUCUCCUGAAGGAACGUUGAAGACGACGACGUUGAUAGGCCGGGUGUGUAAGCGCAGCGAUGCGUUGAGCUAACCGGUACUAAUGAACCGUGAGGCUUAACCUUACAACGCCGAAG